CUCCUUUGCAGCCGGUCCCUGUUUCUUUCUCGAAGAGACUCCGGUGAGUUACUAGAGUCUGGAAUGGAUCCGAGUCUGCAGCUCGGCUUUCAGGCACGAGCAACGCUGAGGUACCUGCAUUACAUGGCUCAGGGUCUCGAACCAGGAUCGGCAUGCUCCACGGAGCUUUUACAGAGAAAGAAAGACCCACUUUAAAGAAAGGCCUGGAAUGGGAGCUGUGGCCUUGAAAAAGCUUGCACCAAAUGCUUCUAAAUUGGAAGUCACCUUUUUGGAGUAUUGAAAGAUUGAAAGUAUGAAAGAUUGCUCAUUCUGGGUCUCCAAAAAUGAAGAAGCUGGUUACGGUGCUUUCCUGUAUGAUGGGGAAUAAACAGAAGAGAAAUUGGAAGGACCACCCCAAAGCAUUGGUGAGAUGAUUUUCUUGCCUAGAGUCAAGCUUGGAUUGAAUUCACACGGGGAUUCCCAGUAUCCUUUCUCUGUGAUCUAGCACAGAUGGCUCCUGGGCUGUUUUGCUGGACCUUUAGAGCUUCAAAUCUACUGUUAAUUCCAUAUCCAAGAGGUUCAAAUGGUCGCCCUGAAGACUGUUUCGAAAAGAAUACGCAAGCCGUCGACUUGCCCUGCUGCUCAGGUGGAAAGAAGGAUUUUGGUUUUGCUGGGCUUAACGGAGGAAUAAAAAGCUGAGAUAGAAUUUCUCAGAGAUGUGAAAGGGUGAUGAUUUGGAAUAUGUUGGAAAAAACGUAUUGGCAAUCAGUAUGGUAAAUUUCUUUUUAAAAACUACAAAAUUGCUGUUAAUAAAUAUACCAGUU